UCUUCCGCAAUGGACGAAAGUCUGACGGAGCAACGCCGCGUGAGUGAUGAAAGUUUCCGGAUCGUAAAACCCUGUUGUUAGGGAAGAACAAGUACCGUUCGAAUAGGGCAGCACCUUGACGGUACCUAACCAGAAAGCAACGGAUAACUACGUGCCAGCAGCCGAGGUAAUACGUAGGUGGCAAGCGUUGUCCGGAAUUAUUGGGCGUAAAGCGCGCGCAGGCGGUUUCUUAAGUCUGAUGUGAAAGCCCCCGGCUCAACCGGGGAGGGUCGUUGGAAACUGGGGAACUUGAGUGCAGAAGAGGAGAGUGGAAUUCCACGUGUAGCGGUGAAAUGCGUAGAGAUGUGGAGGAACACCAGUGGCGAAGGCGACUCUCUGGUCUGUAACUGACGCUGAGGAGCGAAAGCGUGGGGAGCGAACAG
rnacentral:rRNA from 1 species